rnacentral:rRNA from 1 species
AUGGUUGUCGUCAGCUCGUGUCGUGAGAUGUUGGUUAAGUCCCGCAACGAGCGCAACCCUCGACCUUAGUUGCCAGCAUUCAGUUGGGCACUCUAAGGUGACUGCCGGCUAAAAGUCGGAGGAAGGUGGGGAUGACGUCAAACCAUCAUGCCCCUUAUGACCUGGGCUACACACGUGCUACAAUGGGCGGUACAAAGGGUCGCGAACCCGCGAGGGGGAGCCAAUCCCAAAAAGCCGCUCUCAGUUCGGAUUGCAGGCUGCAACUCGCCUGCAUGAAGCCGGAAUCGCUAGUAAUCGCGGAUCAGCAUGCCGCGGUGAAUACGUUCCCGGGCCUU